rnacentral:rRNA from 1 species
AACGAACGCUGGCGGCAGGCUUAACACAUGCAAGUCGAGCGCCCCGCAAGGGGAGCGGCAGACGGGUGAGUAACGCGUGGGAAUCUACCCAUCUCUACGGAAUAACGCAUGGAAACGUGUGCUAAUACCGUAUACGUCCUUCGGGAGAAAGAUUUAUCGGAGAUGGAUGAGCCCGCGUUGGAUUAGCUAAUUGGUGGGGUAAAGGCCUACCAAGGCGACGAGCCAUAGCUGGUCUGAGAGGAUGAUCAGCCACACUGGGACUGAGACACGGCCCAGACUCCUACGGGAGGCAGCAGUGGGGAAUAUUGGACAAUGGGCGCAAGCCUGAUCCAGCCAUGCCGCGUGAGUGAUGAAGGCCCUAGGGUUGUAAAGCUCUUUCACCGGUGAAGAUAAUGACGGUAACCGGAGAAGAAGCCCCGGCUAACUUCGUGCCAGCAGCCGCGGUAACAC